GAUGAACGCUGGCGGCGUGCCUAAUACAUGCAAGUCGAGCGAACAGACGAGGAGCUUGCUCCUCUGACGUUAGCGGCGGACGGGUGAGUAACACGUGGAUAACCUACCUAUAAGACUGGGAUAACUUCGGGAAACCGGAGCUAAUACCGGAGAAUAUAUUGAACCGCAUGGUUCAAUAGUGAAAGACGGUUUUGCUGUCACUUAUAGAUGGAUCCGCGCCGCAUUAGCUAGUUGGUAAGGUAACGGCUUACCAAGGCAACGAUGCGUAGCCGACCUGAGAGGCUGGUCGGCGACACUGGAACUGAGACACGGUCCAGACUCCUAAGGGAGGCAGCAGUAGGGAAUCUUCCGCAAUGGGCGAAAGUUUGACGGAGCAACGCCGCGUGAGUGAUGAAGGUCUUCCGAUCGUAAAACUCUGUUAUUAGGGAAGAACCAAUGUGUAAGUAAAUAUGCACGUCUUGACGGUACCUAAUCAGAAAGCCACGGCUAACUACGUG
rnacentral:rRNA from 1 species